UACGUAGGGUGCGAGCGUUGUCCGGAAUUAUUGGGCGUAAAGAGCUCGUAGGCGGUCCGUCGCGUCGGUCGUGAAAACUUGGGGCUUAACCCUGAGCUUGCGGUCGAUACGGGCAUGACUGGAGUUCGGUAGGGGAGACUGGAAUUCCUGGUGUAGCGGUGAAAUGCGCAGAUAUCAGGAGGAACACCGGUGGCGAAGGCGGGUCUCUGGGCCGAUACUGACGCUGAGGAGCGAAAGCGUGGGGAGCGAACAGG
rnacentral:rRNA from 1 species